GGAGAAUGCAUUGGACCCAACCAA
rnacentral:snRNA from 1 species